GUUGAACGCUGGCGGCAUGCCUUACGCAUGCAAGUCGAACGGCAGCACGGGUGCUUGCACCUGGUGGCGAGUGGCGAACGGGUGAGUAAUACAUCGGAACGUACCUUAUCGUGGGGGAUAACGCAGCGAAAGCUGUACUAAUACCGCAUACGCCCUGAGGGGGAAAGCGGGGGAUCGAAAGACCUCGCGCGAUUAGAGCGGCCGAUGCCUGAUUAGCUUGUUGGUGGGGUAAAAGCCCACCAAGGCGACGAUCAGUAGCUGGUCUGAGAGGACGAUCAGCCACGCUGGGACUGAGACACGGCCCAGACUCCUACGGGAGGCAGCAGUGGGGAAUUUUGGACAAUGGUGGCAACCCUGAUCCAGCAAUGCCGCGUGAGUGAAGAAGGCCUUCGGGUUGUAAAGCUCUUUUGUCAGGGAAGAAACACCGGCUCUAACACAGUCCGGGAAUGACGGUACCUGAAGAAUAAGCACCGGCUAACUACGUGCCAGCCGCCGCGGUAA
rnacentral:rRNA from 1 species